AUUGAACGCUGGCGGCAUGCUUUACACAUGCAAGUCGAACGGCAGCGCGGGCUUCGGCCUGGCGGCGAGUGGCGAACGGGUGAGUAAUGCAUCGGAACGUGCCCAGUAGUGGGGGAUAGCCCGGCGAAAGCCGGAUUAAUACCGCAUACGACCUGAGGGUGAAAGCGGGGGACCGAAAGGCCUCGCGCUCUUGGAGCGGCCGAUGUCGGAUUAGCUAGUUGGUGGGGUAAAGGCUUACCAAGGCGACGAUCCGUAGCUGGUCUGAGAGGACGACCAGCCACACUGGGACUGAGACACGGCCCAGACUCCUACGGGAGGCAGCAGUGGGGAAUUUUGGACAAUGGGGGCGACCCUGAUCCAGCCAUGCCGCGUGCGGGAAGAAGGCCUUCGGGUUGUAAACCGCUUUUGUUCGGGAAGAAAUCCUCUGGGCUAAUACCCCGGGGGGAUGACGGUACCGGAAGAAUAAGCACCGGCUAACUACGUG
rnacentral:rRNA from 1 species